rnacentral:misc_RNA from 1 species
GAAGCCUUGAUGGAAAGUCAAAAAGAAAUUUAAAGAGGAAAAGGGCCAACAAAUGCAUGUCAUGUAAACACAUCAUCAAUGAAAGUCAAACAUAGUUCAUCAAUAUCAUUUUUUAAACUAACAGGAUACUUGCAUUUUAACCAUAAGAGAUUGCAACAUAUGACCAAGCAACAGCCUCAGUGUCAGUGGAUAAUUGAAUUAACUUGACAUGAUUGAUUAAAGAAAAAAUCAUAAAAACCGUAAUAUUAGUCCAGCAAUUUUGGGUUCUUAAUCUUCUGGUUCUCUGCCAUUAACAGCUUUUGGCAGUGUGCACACGAGAUAACCGAUUCUUGUCAUAAUAAAUAAAACAAAUAUACAAAAAGGAUCAAAAUAAAUACAAAAUAAGGCAAAAAAAAAAAAGGAAAUUUAUUCCUG